rnacentral:rRNA from 1 species
AUUGAACGCUGGCGGCAUGCUUUACACAUGCAAGUCGAACGGUAACAGGCCGCAAGGUGCUGACGAGUGGCGAACGGGUGAGUAAUGCAUCGGAACGUGCCCAGUCGUGGGGGAUAACGCAGCGAAAGCUGCGCUAAUACCGCAUACGAUCUAUGGAUGAAAGCGGGGGACCGUAAGGCCUCGCGCGAUUGGAGCGGCCGAUGUCAGAUUAGGUAGUUGGUGGGGUAAAGGCUCACCAAGCCAACGAUCUGUAGCUGGUCUGAGAGGACGACCAGCCACACUGGGACUGAGACACGGCCCAGACUCCUACGGGAGGCAGCAGUGGGGAAUUUUGGACAAUGGGCGCAAGCCUGAUCCAGCAAUGCCGCGUGCAGGAAGAAGGCCUUCGGGUCGUAAACUGCUUUUGUACGGAACGAAACGGUCCUGGUUAAUACCUGGGGCUAAUGACGGUACCGUAAGAAUAAGCACCGGCUAACUACGUGCCAGCCGCCGCGGUAAGAC